ensembl:lncRNA
CUCCUUCCUUCCCACAAAUUUCCCCUCAGCUUGAGUAGAAUCUGCAACCAACAAGCUCUUAAGAUGACUCCAAAGGCUUUGCUCAUUCCCAUCUCCAUCAUAGAUCAGGGUUUUCCUGAAACAAACUCUCAUCAUCUGAGAAAACCUGCAUGCGCCUCUGCUGUCUGCACCCCAGAGGGAACCAGCAGUGUGCCCUGGGAAAAGCUGGGGCCCCACAGGUCCCAGUCUCUGAACAGGGUCUCGUAUAAAGAAGCACCAUCCAGUGACUGUUGCAGCGUGCACUGGCAUCUCGAAGACGGCAUCAACGAAGAGAUCAAGUACUCCAAGAAAGAAGGAAAAAAGGGAGAGAGAGAAGAUCCUUGCAAUGAUGAAAUCCCUUCGACUUUGCCGUCGCAUCUUUCUCCACACAGGGUCGCAGAAGAAAGCAACAACAUGGACCACUCGCCAUCGUCUCUUUGAACAGAGAAGCUACUGCUAUCUAAAGUAGAUUUUAUUAGAGCCCUAGGAAAUGAGAAAUUAUUAUUUCAGAAGCAUCAUUUUUCCUGCUGGGUGGAUGUACAGAGUAGUUGGGGGAGAUGUAUUUUAGCCGUUGGUCCUAGUCACUGUUUUUUUUCCCUGUUAAUCCCGAGACAUUUUUCUUUUUCUUUCUUUCUUUCUUUUUUUUUUGAGACAGAGUCUCACUCUGUCACCCAGGCUGGAGUGCAGUAGCAUGAUCUUGGCUCACUGCAACCUCCGCCUCCCAGGUUCAAGAGAUUCUCCUGCCUCAGCCUCCCGAAUAGCUGGGACUACAGGCACACGCUGCCAUGCCUGGCUAAUUUUUUGUAUUUUUAGUAGAGACAGGGUUUCACUGUGUUAGUCAGGAUGGUCUCGAUCUCCUGAUAUCAUGAUCCGCCCGUCUCAGCCUCCCAAAGUGCUGGGAUUACAGGUGUGAGCCACCGUGUCCGGCCCAAUAAUAAAAAAAAAUUUAAAAAAAAAUUAAAAAAAAAAAAAGUUAGAAUUACAGGCACCUUUGCUGGAAAGCAGGAUUCCUGGGCGGGUGACAGGCACUAGAGCCAUC